rnacentral:misc_RNA from 1 species
CCUCUCUACACACACAGCAUGUCCUUUCUGACUCGGUUCGUUCAUGAUUCGCCCGAGAUAAGUUGAACGGAGUUAUCGCAACAUCAUUCGCGUUUCAUCCCUUAGCCAGGCAAUAUUAAUUUAAGUUACGCAAAGAACGUUGCAAAGCCGCGUCAUGGCCAAAACGGCCUUGCAGGGUGGUCACUUUAACCCCCUUAGUUAUCUGUAGAAUAUUGUAAUAUAAUUUCGAAAGUAAAAUUCUAAUUCGAAGCCAGAUAAGGAUCGAGUCCCAAACAAAGUUGUAGGAAACAGUCCAACUUGUAACCGCAAUCCGAAACAAACGAGUUCCAAAAAACGCGUUCGGUCGAAAUCGCGAGUAGUUCUUUUAAAACAUCGCCGAAACCGAAAGGCUAACGAAUUCUCUCUCAUCCGGCUUGAAAGGAUUUCAUUUAACCAAAAAAAAAGAUACUGUUCUUCGUUGGUUUGUUAGUGAAAAGAAUGAGGUUCGUUUUCUUGUUAAUCCCGUGCAGAUUCGUUCUGUAAGUGUCCAACCAGAUCCGGUGUAAGAAUCAUUCAAAACAAAUUGCAUAGUGAUAGUGCAUUCGGAAGGAUACACUUUCAAAUUCCUUCAAUCACCCGCGAAGUGUUAAAAACUCAUCGGAAUUGGUGAGAUAAUAGAAAAGUGUUAAGGCUCGUUGAUCGGUUGAUCCUUUUUCAAAAUUACGUCACAAAUUUGAGAUUGUUCCAAUGCUGGUUACCAUCAACAUUCGGCAAAUUCCAAAGGUAUACCUACGUUGAACAUCGGUGCCCCGUAAUGGACUAAUUAGCCCGUAAUAAUCGAAGUGAAAGGACGAUUUCAUCUGCUGGAAGAAAAUAGCUUUUGUCACCAGAGAACAUCAAUAACUCUAAAUUCAAGCCAACCAUCUCUCCCACAUGUGCUCAGAACCCACCUUUGAAGAAAUCCUUCACGAAAAGCUUAACCGAUUUUUGGCAAAUCGUCAAGUGGAAUUCCAAUACAAGCACUGAAAUCCAAAUGCAAGGGACAACAAAACUAUAGAAGAAUCUAAAUCAAAGGCUGACCAGUUAACUACUCCCGAGACUGGACAAUAGUACGAGGUGUUUUUCCAUUCAUCUGUAGGUAGACAAAUUCCGGAAUAGAAGGAAGAUCAUUCCACGAAAAAGGAGCGACCAAAUCUAGAUCGCUGAGCAUUAGUAGUUGAGCUGUCAACUGGGAUAUUACGUUUCCUGAGUCUACAAUAAAAGCAUUUCAGGCCUGCCGGAAAACCUACUCCUUUUCCCGCCUUUUCAUUAGCCCCCCCGAAGUUAACAUAACUGAGCCCAUCCCUCCCAUCUCCACGUUUCAUCUUCAAGUCCCGCAUAAAAUGUUACGCGAAACGAUACAAAUGUUGGCAUACCUUAGUGUGCUCUACGGAAGCGCCUACCCGUUGCACAUGGCCAGGGAUUCAUAUCGUCGACAAAUGCCCGAUUUAGAUAUAGUCGAAAUAGCGAACAGUAGACUGUCUUCUAGCGAUAGUGAGAACGGCGCCAGUAUUAUCGGACAUAGUAAGUCCUUGCAAUCUUCCCCCCUACUAGUAGGCGCCUCCUCAGUGACAGGUGGUAUGGACAAAUCGAUGUCACCACCGUCAAUAGCAAAACCUAAUCUGGACGGUGAAAGUACUCUAAUUGACGCUAGUGGUCCUCUGCUUUCAUCGAUGUUCCGCGAAAAUGAAUUCGCCAGUAAACACUUGUUGGGACAUCAUGUUCCGCGACCCGCCUACAUUAACAACGACGAUAUCGCUAGACGAGAUAUCGACGACUAUCGUAGACUCGAACCACCGCUAGCAUUACAGGAAUUAUUCGAUAGUUCUAGUCGAUUAGAUGAGCCAAUAGUCGAACAACAUGCGAAAUUCGAUAUAAGGAUGCAACAGAAGCAACAGAAGAAGAACCAGAAACAACAGUCACAACAGCAACAAAAGCAGAAGCAGCAACAAAUGCAACAACUGCAUGAUCAGCAGCAACAGAUUCAUCAGAGUAAACGGGCUCCCAUUCCCAACAGCGGAGGUCCUGGCGGAAUAGGAAACAACGGACCACCUGACUUACAAAUGGCCUCACACGGAAUUGCCAGUCAAUUGAUGUUGCGCAGUCCUCGCGGACAGCGACAGUAUGAUGUUCCACAAAUUGAAUGUCCUCCUGCGAUAGAUGGUAUGGAAAGAUUUGCGUGCCCAACACCAGACAGGCAAGGCAGAUAUCGAUGUAUAGACGACCAUGUAUUAUGUGAUGGCUUCAUAGACUGUCCGGAGGGUGAAGAUGAAGACCGACAGGCUUGUAUGUUCUACAAAACGACAAAGGCCCAUCUAGAUGUGUUAGCCGAUGCGUUAUUACGUUGGGCGCGAGGUCGCUAAAGGCUCGAAUCCAACUCUAUGUAAAGCGAUCAAACAAAUCUGGAGAGUAGAGCGAAGCAACAAGAAGAAAUCUCACGCGAAAUGACUGGUAUACAAAUUAUAUAUAUAGUAAUACACAAAAUUAUACUAUUAAAUUUACUCAAUAAAAACAAAGAAAAAAAAACCAACAACUUCAAAACUAAGUGAAAUUCCAGCACGAUCGAAAGUUUCACAGUAAAGCAAUGAAACUACCCCAAAAAACCAUUGACCGAAACAUAAGUGAAGAGGAUAUCUUACGAAAUAAUAACAAUAAUAUUAUUUAUAAUGUAAAACUUACUGAAGGGACAUAAGACUUACAGAAUUAGUAGAAGUAAAUCAAUGAUCAGCAUAGACGAAGAAAACAAGAAAAAAAAUAAAUGGAUAUCUAAUGUUAAGAUAAAUGAAUCCUAUCUUAAUCAAUUAGGAUACAAUGAACAAACAGUGAAGAGAAAAAUAAAAACGUAAAAACAAGUCAUGUUUUAGGAAUUUGCUAUUUUUUUUCUAAAUGUGUAAACUAAAUCAAUUGUAUAUUACUAAUAAAUAAUGGCAAGGUUAUAAACAAACAAUAUUGAUGUAGUGAUCUUAUUUGUUUAUAUCUAAAUGUUCAUUUAUUUAUACUUCAAUGUGAAUUUCUACCAGCUAUUCAUUUCUUCUUAAACCAUUACUGAAAGAAAAUCCAUUAAAUCAAUAAAUCUAUGUGACUAAUUCAAACUAAAAAGCAGCAUGUGAAGGCCAAAAUGUGUACAAUCAAAUGCUAAUUUUUUUCUUAUUUUUUUUAAAGUAUCUUUUUUACUAAACAACCAUUAUUUCAUUCCCUUUCAGUUCCCAAGAAGUUUGAAAAAAAAAAAAAACAAUUAUAUUAUUCUAGUAAUGACGAAUUUCAACCGCCGAAUUUAAAUUGAAAUUAAAAAAAUUUCCGAAGAAACAUAUAAUAUCCAAAAACAGCAUUCAGCAUAACCAUCAAUUGUAUUCAUACAUACACAUUUACAAGGAAAAUGAAUAAAACUACUCUCAUGGAAAUGAUGGCAGCUAUAAAAACAAAAACGUGUAGAUAAAUAUAUUUAAAGUAAUAUGAAUAAAUAUAUAUGAAUGAUUUAUAAAAUUAAUGCAAAACCUUAUUGAAAAAAAAUCUAUAUAUAUAUACAUU